rnacentral:rRNA from 1 species
AGCCUGAUGCAGCGACGCCGCGUGAGGGAUGACGGCCUUCGGGUUGUAAACCUCUUUCAGCAGGGAAGAAGCGAAAGUGACGGUACCUGCAGAAGAAGCGCCGGCUAACUACGUGCCAGCAGCCGCGGUAAUACGUAGGGCGCAAGCGUUGUCCGGAAUUAUUGGGCGUAAAGAGCUCGUAGGCGGCCAGUCACGUCGGAUGUGAAAGCCCGAGGCUUAACCUCGGGUCUGCAUUCGAUACGGGCUGGCUAGAGUGUGGUAGGGGAGAUCGGAAUUCCUGGUGUAGCGGUGAAAUGCGCAGAUAUCAGGAGGAACACCGGUGGCGAAGGCGGAUCUCUGGGCCAUUACUGACGCUGAGGAGCGAAAGCGUGGGGAGCGAACAGGAUUAGAUACCCUGGUAGUCCACGCCGUAAACGUUGGGAACUAGGUGUUGGCGACAUUCCACGUCGUCGGUGCCGCAGCUAACGCAUUAAGUUCCCCGCCUGG